GCCUUCAUGGUGUAACGGUUAGCACACUUGGUGUGUAUUCGAGAGGUCCAGGUUCGAUUCCUGGCAAGUGCA
rnacentral:tRNA from 1 species